AUGGCGGCGCUCGGCGGCAUGCUUGCUGCUGCCAUCCUCAAGGUGGUGGGCGACCAGGUUGGUUCUCUGAUCGGGGGUCAGAUCGCGCUGCAGAUGAAUUUGGACAAGGACCUCAAGAAGAUGAAGAUGGCGCUGGAGUCUGUCGAGGCAGUGCUCAAGGUCGCGGAGAGGCAGUCCAUCACCGACGAACUGACGGGUCUUUGGCUGAAGUGGCUCAAGGACUUCUUGUAUAAGGUCUCUGACAUGAUUGAUGAGUUCGAAGCAGACACACAAGCCAUCACCCAGCCAUCUGCGCUCAAGUUCUCCUUCAAAAAAUAUUUGGCAUUCAUGAUCCCUUGUCUCACAAUUGGCCCCAACAUUACAAUGGCCAAUAGGAUGAAGAACAUGAGGGACGACCUGAAGGUCAUAACAGAUCAACACAAGGAAUUCAAGUUAACAGACUGCACUAAUGCCAAAGAGCCAAAGGUGACUGAUAUACGGGAAACAUCAUUAAUCCUGGAGAUAGAAAUCAUUGGGAGGACUAAGGAGAGAGAUAUAAUAUUGGCUUCUUUGUUUGAUAGCAUGACAAAAGAUAUCACAAUCCUUCCUAUAUAUGGCAUUGGAGGCCUUGGCAAGACAACCUUGGCAAAAAUGGUUUACAAUAGUUCCCAAUUCAGUGAAUACUCUCAAGUGUGGGUUUACGUGUUUCAGACAUUUGAUUUGAUCAAAAUUGGAAACUCUAUAAUAUCACAAUUAUCAAAGAAAGAUAAAGAGAGUGCGUACACUGGAAAGGAGAUGAUCCAUAAUUCCCUUGAAAAGCUCCUCGCCAACAAGAAGAUUCUGAUUGUUUUAGAUGACCUGUGGGAAGAUAACAUGUCUCAUUUGGAAGAACUGAAAGAUAUGUUAAAAAUUGGGAAGAGCAGUAACGUGGUUGUUAUAGCAACCACACGAAGUGAAGGCAUUGCAAAGGAAAUCUCCACCAUCCAACCAUACAAAUUAGCACCAUUGACUGAUGACAGUGUUGGUCUAUAA
rnacentral:rRNA from 1 species